rnacentral:rRNA from 1 species
UACGUAGGGUGCGAGCGUUGUCCGGAAUUAUUGGGCGUAAAGAGCUCGUAGGCGGUGUGUCACGUCGGCCGUGAAAACCUGCAGCUUAACUGUGGGCGUGCGGUCGAUACGGGCAUCACUGGAGUUCGGCAGGGGAGACUGGAAUUCCUGGUGUAGCGGUGAAAUGCGCAGAUAUCAGGAGGAACACCGGUGGCGAAGGCGGGUCUCUGGGCCGAUACUGACGCUGAGGAGCGAAAGCUAGGGGAGCAAACGGG